rnacentral:lncRNA from 1 species
UUUUUGGCCAAGGUAGUGACGCGUUGUACCUUGUGUGGUGUGCAGGUGUAUGGGAUUACAUUUAUCUUCUAAAGCUUAGUUGUGACAAAAAUAAAGUGGAUUACCUAAGCCUUAGUGGGAAGCUGUUACCAGGAAUGUACCAGUGAAGCGAUGUCGAUGAGACCGAAGGUAGAAAAACUGGAUGACGUGAAGAAGACAGACGUUAACAUGUUCAAGAUUUGUGUGUUCGGGGAGUGUGGAGCUGAUGGGGAUGCAGGGCGACCUUCAGGAAUAGUCUUCCAACCAUCGAAAAUAUCCAGGUAUGCAGUGAAAGCCAGAUGUUGGUCUCGGGGCAUCUGAAGUACUCUCGACAGUAGAAGAGGAGAAGGAGGAAGAGGAGGAGUAGGAGGAGGAGGAGAGGUAGGAAGCAUGGGAAAAGGAAGAAGAGGAGAAGGCUAAACAAGAGUACGAAUUAAAAAGAAAACUAAGAAACCU